rnacentral:rRNA from 1 species
ACUGCGAAGGGGGGACGGAGAAGGCUAUGUUAGCCGGGCGACGGUUGUCCCGGUUUAAGCAUGUAGGCUGGUUAUCCAGGCAAAUCCGGAUAAUCAAGGCUGAGGUGUGAUGACGAGGUACUACGGUACUGAAGUAACAAAUGCCCUGCUUCCAGGAAAAGCCUCUAAGCAUCAGGUAACAUCAAAUCGUACCCCAAACCGACACAGGUGGUCAGGUAGAGAAUACCAAGGCGCUUGAGAGAACUCGGGUGAAGG